rnacentral:rRNA from 1 species
AUUGAACGCUGGCGGCAUGCUUUACACAUGCAAGUCGAACGGUAACAGGCCGCAAGGUGCUGACGAGUGGCGAACGGGUGAGUAAUGCAUCGGAACGUGCCCAGUCGUGGGGGAUAACGCAGCGAAAGCUGUGCUAAUACCGCAUACGAUCUAUGGAUGAAAGCGGGGGACCGGAAGGCCUCGCGCGAUUGGAGCGGCCGAUGUCAGAUUAGGUAGUUGGUGGGGUAAAGGCCCACCAAGCCAACGAGCUGUAGCUGGUCUGAGAGGACGACCAGCCACACUGGGACUGAGACACGGCCCAGACUCCUACGGGAGGCAGCAGUGGGGAAUUUUGGACAAUGGGCGCAAGCCUGAUCCAGCAAUGCCGCGUGCAGGAAGAAGGCCUUCGGGUUGUAAACUGCUUUUGUACGGAACGAAAAGGUCUGGGUUAAUACCCUGGGCCGAUGACGGUACCGUAAGAAUAAGCACCGGCUAACUACGUGCCAGCCGCCGCGGUAAUAC